AUAAAAUAGUUUACAUUGCAGUGUUUUUGUUCCUUGAUCAAACUGUGCAGAUCCCAGCUCACGAUAAACACCGCAAUCGUCUAUAUGCACCGGUUUUACAUGCUCAAUUCCUUUACGAAGUUCCAUAGAAAUAUCAUUUCUCCCACCACGCUCUUCCUGGCCGCUAAGGUGGAGGAACAACCGAGGAAACUUGAACACGUUAUUAAAGUAGCCACAUGCUUGCCUGAACCCCACAGGACCCUCCGUUGGACACCAAGAGCAAUGUGAGUGUGGGGGUUUAUGGGUGAUGUAGUUUCGCUCUCCGCUUUAGUCAUCAUUUUAGCUAGCUACAUGCUUUGACAGUUACAUCACAUGGGCUGGGAAUCAAUGUGUGUACAAACAGAGAACUUUGUUCCAUAGAUUUGAUGUGUUCCUAAAUUUACAUAAUGUCAACAUUAAGUGACAUUUGCAGUGGCUUCAAUUUGCAUAAUGUGUCAUUUCUCAGGGAAACUGAAUAUUUUGAAUGAAGUGUUGUUGGACUGUUUAUUGGAUCAUUUUUCCAAUUCAGAUGGCCUGAACAUUUUUUUCAUCUGUUACAUUGAUAGAUAUUAAAAACAAACAAAUUCUCUCUCUCUCUCUUUUUUUUUUUUUUUUUUUUUUAGAAUGCAAGUAAAUGGGGCUUAUUUUGAUUGGACAUGUUUGUAGGAAAAACGGUUUCUUUUUAAUUUCUUAAAGUAUAGAAUAUAUUUACAUGUAUGUAUGUAAAUAUGUAUGUGGAGAUGUGCCCAUUUUUUUUCUUACGAGUUAUACAGAAUAAGUUUAGGAGCAUUUAUAAUGAAAGUAAAUGGGGCUCUUUUUGAUUUUA